UUGUCCGGAUUUAUUGGGCGUAAAGCGAGCGCAGGCGGAAAAAUAAGUCUAAUGUGAAAGCCCUCGGCUUAACCGAGGAACUGCAUCGGAAACUGUUUUUCUUGAGUGCAGAAGAGGAGAGUGGAACUCCAUGUGUAGCGGUGGAAUGCGUAGAUAUAUGGAAGAACACCAGUGGCGAAGGCGGCUCUCUGGUCUGCAACUGACGCUGAGGCUCGAAAGCAUGGGUAGCGAACAGGAUUAGAUACCCUGGUAGUCCAUGCCGUAAACGAUGAGUGCUAAGUGUUGGGAGGUUUCCGCCUCUCAGUGCUGCAGCUAACGCAUUAAGCACUCCGCCUGGGGAGUACGACCGCAAGGUUGAAACUCAAAGGAAUUGACGGGGGCCCGCACAAGCGGUGGAGCAUGUGGUUUAAUUCGAAGCAACGCGAAGAACCUUACCAGGUCUUGACAUCUAGUGCAAUCUGUAGAGAUACGGAGUUCCCUUCGGGGACGCUAAGACAGGUGGUGCAUGGCUGUCGUCAGCUCGUGUCGUGAGAUGUUGGGUUAAGUCCCGCAACGAGCGCAACCCUUGUUAUUAGUUGCCAGCAUUAAGUUGGGCACUCUAAUGAGACUGCCGGUGACAAACCGGAGGAAGGUGGGGAUGACGUCAAGUCAUCAUGCCCCUUAUGACCUGGGCUACACACGUGCUACAAUGGGCAGUACAACGAGAAGCAAGCCUGCGAAGGCAAGCGAAUCUCUGAAAGCUGUUCUCAGUUCGGACUGCAGUCUGCAACUCGACUGCACGAAGCUGGAAUCGCUAG
rnacentral:rRNA from 1 species